rnacentral:rRNA from 1 species
UACGUAGGGGGCGAGCGUUGUUCGGAUUUACUGGGCGUAAAGCGCGCGUAGGCGGCUAGAUAAGUUGGGUGUGAACGCCCUCGGCUUAACCGAGGUUCCGCAUCCAAAACUGUUUGGCUCGAGUCUAGGAGAGGAGAGCGGAAUUCCCAGUGUAGCGGUGAAAUGCGUAGAUAUUGGGAGGAACACCGGUGGCGAAGGCGGCUUUCCGGACUAGCACUGACGCUGAGGCGCGAAAGCUAGGGGAGCGAACGGG